rnacentral:tRNA from 1 species
AGCAGUGUGGCUCAGUGGAAAGAGCACGGGCUUGCGAGUCAGAGGUCAUGGGUUCGAUUACCAACUCUGCCA